UACGGAGGGUGCAAGCGUUAUCCGGAUUUACUGGGUUUAAAGGGUGCGCAGGCGGAUGUGUAAGUCAGUGGUGAAAUCUCUGGGCUUAACCCGGAAAUUGCCAUUGAUACUAUAUAUCUUGAAUGCUGUGGAGGUAAGCGGAAUAUGUCAUGUAGCGGUGAAAUGCUUAGAUAUGACAUAGAACACCUAUUGCGAAGGCAGCUUACUACGCAGAUAUUGACGCUCAUGCACGAAAGCGUGGGGAUCAAACAGG
rnacentral:rRNA from 1 species